AUACGUAGGGGGCGAGCGUUGUCCGGAAUGACUGGGCGUAAAGGGCGUGUAGGCGGCCGAUUAAGUCUGGAGUGAAAGUCCUGCUUUCAAGGUGGGAAUUGCUUUGGAGACUGGUUGGCUUGAGUGCGGAAGAGGUAAGUGGAAUUCCCAGUGUAGCGGUGAAAUGCGUAGAGAUUGGGAGGAACACCAGUGGCGAAGGCGACUUACUGGGCCGUAACUGACGCUGAGGCGCGAAAGCGUGGGGAGCGAACAGGAUUAGAUACCCUGGUAGUCCACGCGGUAAACGAUGAAUACUAGGUGUAGGGGGUAUCGACUCCCUCUGUGCCGCAGUUGACACAAUAAGUAUUCCGCCUGGGGAGUACGGCCGCAAGGUUGAAACUCAAAUGAAUUGACGGGG
rnacentral:rRNA from 1 species